UACAGAGGUCUCAAGCGUUGUUCGGAUUCAUUGGGCUUAAAGGGUGCGUAGGUGGCGCCGUAAGUCAGGUGUGAAAUUUCGGAGCUUAACUCCGAAACUGCAUUUGAUACUGCGGUGCUUGAGGACUGGAGAGGAGACUGGAAUUUACGGUGUAGCAGUGAAAUGCGUAGAGAUCGUAAGGAAGACCAGUGGCGAAGGCGGGUCUCUGGACAGUUCCUGACACUGAGGCACGAAGGCCAGGGGAGCAAACGGG
rnacentral:rRNA from 1 species